ACCUCUUCUCUUUCUAUUUGAAUGCCUUUUAUUUACUUUGUUUGUCUGAUUGCUGUGUCUAGGACUUCCAAUACUAUGUUGAAUAACAGUGGUGAGAGUGGGUAUCCCUGUCUUGUUCCAGAUUUUAGUGGGAAGGCUUUCAGCUUUUCUGCAUUGAGUAUUAUAUUUGCUGUGGGUUUGUUGUAAAUGGCUUUGAUUAUGUUAAGGAAUGUUCCCUCUAUACCCACUUUGGUAAGAGUUUUUAUCAUGAAUGGAUGUUGGACUUUGUUAAAUGCCUUUUCUGCAUCUAUUGAGAUGAUCAGGUGGUUUUUGACUUACCUUUUGUUAAUGUGGUGUAUCAAUGGAAUAUUAAUCAGCAGUAAAAAUGAAGUACUGAUACAUCUACAACAUUGAUAAACCUUGAAAACAUUAUGCUAAAUGAAAGAAGCCAGUCACAAAAGGUCACAUAUUGUAUGAAUCCAUUCAUAUGACAUGCCCAAAAUAGGCAAAUCUAUAGAAACAGGAAGUGGAUCAGUGGCUUCCUAGAACACAGUGGUGGUAGGAUUAAGGGCGUGGGAAAGGUUGGAAAGAAUGGAGUAUGACUCAACAGAUAAGGAGCUCCCUUUUGAGAUGAUGAAAAUGUCAUAAACUUAGAUUGUGAUUAUAGCACAACUUUAUGGAUACACGCAAAACUACUGAAUUGAGCACUUUAAGUGAGUUAAUUUUAUGAUAUGUGAGUAAAGGUAUUUUUUAAAAGCAGGCCCUAAUCCUGAACUGUCCACCUGAGGUCUUCCUGAAAUCAUGACAUAGGAAACUAAGAGAAAGAAUAAAAUAAUGUUGAUUUAAAAAAAAUAGAAAGCAAACUCCCAAGAUACAAUAGUUAUGGGAGGUCUGAACUAUAUAUAUAUAUAUAUAUGGCAAUGGCAGUCUUUUAAAACAGAAUAUUAUUGUCUUGCCUUGAUAUUUUUAGUAAUGUGUGUUAGCAAAACAUAUACUUUGCAGUUUAAGCACAUUUUGUGGGUGAAAAAUUCCUUAGCUCUUGGAACCCCUCAGAAGUGCUAACAUAUCCAAUCUGAGUGACUCUGAGCCAGUCGUUUGAUAUCUAGGGAUUACCUUGUCCUGUGUGUGAAGGAGAGCCACCCUAGAUAACGUCUAAGGCCAGUUCUCGUCCCAAAUUUCUGCAACCAAUGCCUUGUGUCCUAUACAUCACUCUGACAAAAGAGUUCACAGAAGGAGAGCUGGAGGCAUUAGAAUCACCUGGUUGGAACAUGUUUGAAAUGGAGAUGCUAGGUUCUACCCUAGGAAUUGGCACUUUGUAGAAGCAUGCCAAGCAGUUGAGAAAUACUGGCAGUGAGUCUUUGGAAACUAGUUGCUCCAAGGAAUAAUAGGCCCUCUUUAUCUCCUGUGCUUAAUGAGGCAAGAUAGACACCUCAGUUGCGAUGUGUUGUCUCAAUCUCCAACUCUUAGACUAAAACUUCUUUCUUUUCUUUAAUUUUUUUGUUGUUGUUAGGGCUUCACCUGUGGCAUAUGGAAGUUCCCAGGCCAGGGGUCAAAUCAGAGGUGUAGCUGCUGGCCUAUGCCACACCCACAGCAACACCAGAUCUGGGCUGCAUCUGUGAUGUACACUGUAGCAAUGUACAAUUAGCACAUGCUGGAUCCUUAACCCACUGAGUGAGGCCAGGGAUCAAACCCACAUCCUCAUGGAUACUGAGCCACAAUGGGAACUCCUAUUUAAUCCUUUUAAAGUUAGUUAAUAUCAUCAUUAAUUUGCUUCUCUUUAUAUGCCAAACACAUAGAGUGCAUGGUUGAGAUUCCUGCUAAUUCCACUUAAGCUAUGUGGGUAUUACUGAUCAAGAAAUAGAUACAAUUUCACUUUUCAUCUUUGAAUGGGUGUCAUCAGAGAUCGGGGAGGUGAUAAUGUUGUUAUAGUUAGUAAUAUGAUGCUGUGAUUCUGCUCUCUCUGAAAUUUGACCCUGUGGGGAGCAUAGCACUCUGGACAGGGACAGAGACGAUAUGUAAAGAAUUAAUAAGUAUAGAGAGAUACCAGUAAUAACACUUCCAUUGGCUGAAAUAGCUUUCAGGUCUCCUUAGGGGUGGCUCUGUUCAGAUGUCAGAAAAAGGAGAUUCAUUUUCAUCUGAAUCACUCUUUGGAUUUGAAGAGAAGGGAUUCAAGUUCUAUUUAUCCUUGUACCCUUAACAAUAACUCACAUGGUGUUUACCAUAUUCCAGGCACUGUUUCAAGAGCUUUAGCUACAUAAACUCACUUAAUCUUCAUUGCAGGUCAACAGGCAAUGAUUAUCUCUACUUUCAACAUGAGGAAAUUGAGACAGAGAGGCUAACUAGAUUACAAAGAUUACAACUAGGAGACUGAAGAACAGGAUGUGAAUCUAGAAAACAAGGCACCAGAGUUCAUGAUACUUGAACACUAAACCUUAGCCUUGUUCACCAGAACUAACUAUGCAAUGAUACAAUGUGCUUCUCAUUCCUGGAUUAGCAAAAUCUUUAGCCACAGCAGGAUAAUAAUGUGCAAAUUUAUCUUUAAUGAAAAGUUUAAAGUUUAUCUGGUAAGGCGUAAUACUAAGUUUGAUCUGUUAACUGAAACAUUAGUCUCUGCAAAAUAAAGGGAUAACUGAAGUUCUGUUGGGAGUGAGUGACUUUAAAGAAUUUAUAAUUAAACAUUAUUCUCAUCAUGUGCCAAGAAACAACCCUCCAAAAGUAUGGAUUUCUAGCAGAAUGCAUCUAACACUAAGCUGAACACUCCCGGUUUUAAUUACAUAUCUUUCUUUCCCUGCUCAUUGGCUCAGAGAUCCAGAAAGUAAAUCCAAAGAGCUAGAAAUUUGUUGAAAUGACCACACAUCCAUUGUAAGAGGUCUUUUUCACCUGGUGAUUUUCAUUCAAGAACUCUUAGGAAUGAGCAAAAUUUUGGACUAAAGAUGUAGUCUAUCAAAAAAGUUACAUGUUGCUUUUCUAUAUUUAGUUUUUGAAUAUAUGUAACCCUCUAGAGGGGGUUUUUAAGCACCUACAAUGCAGAAUGCAAUAUGGUAUGUAUUGUGAGGGCAUGAAGAUGAAUCUUGUGCAAAGCGCUCACUGCCUGGUAUUAGAAAUGAGAUUAAAAACUAGAGAACAAAACACAAAGGGGAUGAUGGUACAAGAGUAAUGUACCUAAUGAUCCUGGUUGUUCAGAGGAAGGGGAUGUAGGUGGUAAAGGGUAACUUAUGGCUGAUAGUUCCAUUUGAGAGGAAACUGAAGGCAGGAUAGGAUUUAGACACAUGGAGUUGAGGAGGAAGACUGAACUCUUUUAACUUAAUCCUCAGAGUGGAUUGAAAACUCUAGCAAUAAGUGAUUAUAAAGCACGGACUUUGUCUCUUAAAUGAUCAUGGAUUCAUAUGCCAGUCACAGACUUAAAGUGAGAGAGAGAGGAAGGGUGGAAGAAGAAGGAAGCCAGUCAGUCUGAUCUCUAGGGAAAGAGAACAUCAUGUACCAUCUGACCUGACAGACCACUCUGGCUCAUCAGGCUCUCGAGCUUUGUAUUUCAUUUAGGAUGAAAUAUAGUCACAUCUGAUGAAUGCUGAAAGAAUGCAUGCAAGUUAUCUACAGUCAUCUUUCCCUUGUGAAUUGACCCUUACCAUUCUCAACUAAGAGCAGUGUCGAAUAUGUAUAGGUGUUAAAUUAAACUGUAUGAUUCUUGAAAUGACAAAGAUAUUCUCAAAAUGUCAGAUUGUCAAAUGUUCAAAUAAUGAUGUGUUAAAAAAGUAAUGAGAUCAAUGAUGGAAACAGAAGUAUUUUUAGAUUAUCAAGUAAAUAUAGCCAUGGUUUCUCAAAAUAUGCCUCUCUGUUCUUCUUAGAAGACUAUAUAUAACAGAUUUGUCCUGGGAAGCCAUAAAAUACAAUAUUCAAGUCCAAUAUGGCCACCCAAAAGAAUAAGAGCUGACCCUUAUUCUUCACUCCUACAGCCCAAAGAGCUAUCACCUUUCAUUGAAAGCACUGAACCAGAAGAUCAUCAUUGCUCUUUAACCAGGAACAUUGCCUUUAAAAAAAAAUAUAUUGCAAAUGUAAACACUUUCUCUGAAAUUGAAUGUCAGUUCUCACUAAUGAUUUUUUAAGCUACAGAAAUCAGUUAUGAGUGUGUGUGUAACUUUUGUUGCUUUUUUCUAUCAAAUGCUUUCCCUUGGCCAGUGUGACAAAUAUGUCCCCAGUCCUCUGUGCAGACAUUUUUCAGCUCUCUGCAAGCUGAGACAAGAUCAGUCCUUUGGCUUUUCCCCUCCCUUGAUAAAUAGAACCAGAAAAGCAUCUUUACACAUGCCAUUCUGAUCUAAGCAUUUCUAAUGAUAGCAUGAAAGCAAAGGAGGUCAGAGGUAGACUAAUAACAACAAGAAUUUUUUGGAUGGUUUACCACAGAUUAGAAUACCUUUACACACUGAGUGCCACCACAGAGGCAAUCUGUCAUUUGUCUGUUGACCUGUGCAUUGACUUGCACCUUUUCCUAGGAGUGAAGAUGUUUGCCAGCAUGGACACUUAAAGUAAAAUAAAUGGCCAUUCAGCUUGUUUGAUUUAAGAAACUAUGAGAUGUUUCUUCUUCUUAAGAUUAUUUUCCUUGCCCCCUCUUAUUCUGCCUGAUAUACUGUAUCCUUAUAGAAUCAUUCCUAUGAAUUAAUAAGCAUUUCAUCAAACCCCAUAACACACAUUGUAAUGGUGUCAGUCAGAACUAUUUGGCUUGACUUUAGCUAAUCAGGUCUUAGGCUUCCCUGCUAACUCACUGAGGGCAGGAACUUUGGAAAUUAGAAUUUUGCUGAUGGGUGAUUGAGACAUUGCUGAUGAUUGUAAAUUUGGGUGGGGCACCAUUCAGGGGUACUGGGUGACAAGGAAAAGGAGAAAAAAGCCUACAGUUUGUAUUAGUUUUCUUGGGCUGCCAGAACAAAAUAUCUACAAACUUGGUGGGUGACUUAGAACAGUAGAAAUUUUUCUGAUAGGUCUGGAGCAGUCCAGAAACAAGGCAUCAGCAGGACCAUGGAUCCUCACAGGCGCUAGGAAAGCAUUUGUCCAGGCUUCUCUUCUAGCAUCCAGUAGCCUCAAGUGUUCCUUUGCUUGUAGAUGACUAUUUACUCCCUAUGUCACUUCACAUUGUCUUCCCUUUGUGUGUAUCUUUGUGUCCAAAUUUCCAUUCUUUUAUAAGGACACCAGGCAUACUGGUUAAGGCCUCAUGUAUACUUGAUUACUUCUAUAAACCCCUAUCUUCCAAAUAAGGUCACAUUCCGAGGUACUGAAUUAAAAGCCUACAUUAUAUGAAUUUGGGAGAGGACAUAAUUUCAGUCUGUAACAGAGGUAUGUGUGUGAGUGAUGUGUUGGGCAGGGUCUGAGGAAGUGUAUGAAGAUAGUUGAAUACAGAACUCACUUGAUUCACAUUAUGCCUUUUGUUGGCCCUGCCUGUUCAGUGACCUUGUGCAUUAAGAAGCCUUAGCUAGUUCAGGUGUGACUCAUGGAAUUAAGAAAAGUCUGCUGAUCAGGAGGAUCAGGUGACUGUCAGAACUAGGAGAGUCAGGCAGCAGUCACAUUCAGAGCAAUCAAGAGGUCAGGAAUCCAAGCAAGUAAGACAAGGGUAGAGAAACAGAGCUUUUAGAAGCCUAGGCAAGGGACAAGCUAUCUAAAGAAGCAUUUUUUUUUUCUCUGCUUUUAUUAUAGAAAUAUUCAGACAUAUUAAAAAACACUUGGAGUUCCCAUCAUGGCACAGCUGAAACAAAUCUGACUAGGAACCAUGAGGUUGCAGAUUCAAUCCCUGGCCUCGCUCAGUGGGUUAAGGAUCUGGCAUUGCCUUGAGCUGUGGUAUAGGUUCCAGACACUACUCGGAUCUGGCGUUGCUGUGGCUCUGACAUAGGCUGCCAGCUACAGUUCCGAUUAGACCCCUAGCCUAGGAACCUCCAUGUGCUG
rnacentral:lncRNA from 1 species